AAUUCUAAUAGUUCCUCCCUCUGCGAAGUCCGCCCUGAAGACUCUUUGUGAAACACGAUGUCCUCUUCUGAGUCAUUGAUCCAAUAAUCUUCUUCCAAGUCAUCAAUCCAAUCAUCUUCACAAUCUAACUGUUCAGGCAGGACCACCACUAACGCUGAUUCAUCCUUUAAACUUGGAUUAAAUUUCUUUUCUUGAGCCUUCUCAAUUGU
rnacentral:lncRNA from 1 species